UACGAAGGGUGCAAACGUUGCUCGGUAUCAUUGGGCGUAAAGCGCACGUAGGCGGCUUCAAAAGUCGGAUGUGAAAUCCCGUGGCUCAACCAUGGACGUGCAUUCGAAACUGCGAAGCUUGAGUAUGGAAGAGGGUCGCGGAAUUCCCGGUGUAGAGGUGAAAUUCGUAGAUAUCGGGAGGAACACCAGUGGCGAAGGCGGCGACCUGGGCCAAUACUGACACUCAGGUGCGACAGCGUGGGGAGCAAACAGG
rnacentral:rRNA from 1 species